rnacentral:lncRNA from 1 species
GGAAGGGCAAUCAAGUCUACAGUGGUUCCCUCAGUGUAGCCACAAUCACCCACUUCUGCCCGUCAAAGAAAACACUACUGAGACACGUGGUCCAGACGUAUCAGCCUUAUUCAAGGGAGGGCUCCUGAUGGAAGUCACAGUUCGCAAAAGGGCAAGUUCCCUCAAAGACAGGUAAUAUUUUUGGAGUAACAGGAAGGGGGAAAUACAAUGUCCUAAUAAUCACGCCCAACAGAACCUAACCAAACCUUUCCAGCAGUUGGACUGGGCCAGCCUUGGCACAAAUAAGUACACAGGUGACUUUAGAUGCUGCAGUUGAUUUCAAACAGGUGUCUCUGAUUUCUUCCCCGACACAGUCUGGAUAACGUGGGGUCAGUAUGUGUUGUGUAGAAUAGAGACAAGGACAGUCACUGAGUGGUAUUCUGUUGAAGAAUCAGGGAACCCUUCCACUCUCCCUUUCAGCUCUUUCAAACCUUCCCUUUUCCAAGUGGCCCUUCCCGCCAAAGGAGUCUCAAAAAGGCGACCUGUUGUAGUAGCCUCCAAGGUGCGGUCCCAGCCGCUGCCCCACGUCUCCUGGGGAGUCCGGUGGCCGCCUCGACUCCUCGGGCCGUAUAUUUGCAGAGACGAGGUGCUGGGCGGUGGGCCGGACUGCGGGGGGCCGUUAGUAUAGAUCCUCCUUCCCCGCGUCUACGAGCACCCCCCGGGUUCUGCCGAAAGCGCUCGCCCAAUCUCCCCUUUACUCUCUUUUCAAGUUCAGCUCAGGUACAGUGUGACAGUUACAGCGCCCGGGAGCUGGCAGGCGCCGCCGCUGCCGCGGCAGCAGCAUCUGCUUCCGCGCAGAACGCGCUUCUCCCGCGGUACAUACCUGGUAAAGUGCGCGCCGGGGCUGAGUUGCAUAGAGACUUUCUCCUCGUCGUGCACCCGGAAAGGGCUCCCGAGAAAGCAGCUCGCGAACAGCCUAAGCCGACGCGCCGAUGGGAGCAUAAAUAAAGCUCAAGCGAGCUCUUCUUCCCCUUCCCCCAUCCCUCCGUGCCUCCCUCCUCCUUUUCACCUUCCAAAAGCCAGGAGCAGGCGAGCCGAGCAGCAGCAACAAGUUCAAAAGGUUAUGAAAGGCGUCUCCUGCCUUUCCCUCGGCUUGACCUUUCUCCGCCCCCGCCCCCUCGGGCUCCUCUCGCUCCACCCCAGCCACCCACCAGCCCCGGCGCAAAAAUGUCACCGAGGGAGAGCGUCCAGGUGGAUCUGCUGGGGAGGAGAGCGGAGCCUCGUUGAACAAAGGGAAGCUUCACGCGCUCGGCUGCGGUGGUUUGGUGGAGGAGAGGAGCAAGGGGACCGAUGCCUUGCUUCUGCCUGCCUGGGUCCCGGUUCAAGGCGAGCGAGCGUGGGAAAAAAAAAAAAAAAAGAGAGAGAGAGAGAGAAGCUGGGAAGGAGAGUGAGCAGAGCGGAACGCGCAGGAAUUGGCUGUCUUCUGAGGGCUACUGGGUAGCAAGACCUGCAAAGCCCCGCGGCGGAAUUUUUAAGUGCUUUUCCCCUCUUUAUUUGUUCACACCAGACGUUAACGUUGCAGGAGUUAAUAUGUCAUCUGUCCAACUUGCUGAAAAGUCAGACAGUCACCUCGGUCCAGGUCUCGCCACAACUCCUUUUCCCGUCCUUUGCAAAUGACAGGAAGGAUUUAGAACCCUUUUCUAAAUGUCAGCGUCAAAGGACAUGCGUCUCCGCGAGUCUGCGUCCCCUUCAUUCUCUCUGCGCCUCUCUGAGUACAGAUCUGAAAUGGUUAAAGUAGUUAAAGCUGUCCCUGUGAGGGGUAGGUGAUGUGAGAGACUAAGAAAUUGUCGCGGCCAAGCGUUGUGUUUUUCGUGUACCCCGCCCCCCAGUCAUUUAGGCAUCUUCCUUAAAACCAAACAUAUAACAUGUACAACCACUAGGUGGCGGGAAUGGCGAGAAGUUAAACCCACACCUCAGGUUUGGACGCUUUAGAAAGGUGAAGAAUCAAAAUGAACUGACCCAACAGCGCAUCAGAUCACGCUGAUAUCCUCAAAUCCACCCACCACCCACCUUUUUAGUAUUUCUAGGAGAUACACUACUCACGUCUGCCCUGAAUUUUGAUGGAUAUGGGAUGGAAUGUGGAGAGUUUCCGUUGAAAUGCCUUUCAAAAUUAAAGCUAGAUUAACUGAGGAAUAACAAUAAUAAAAGUGUUUGGAAACAGUGAGGCUUCA